AUUGAACGCUGGCGGCAUGGCUAAGACAUGCAAGCCGAGCGCGAAAGUUCCUUCGGGAGCGAGUAGAGCGGCGAAAGGGCGAGUAAUGCGUUCCUACGUACCUUCAGGUGAGGGAUAGCCCAGGGAAACUUGGUUUAAUACCUCAUGUGGUCUCCGGAUCAAAGGCUUCGGCCGCCAGAAGAGCGGGGAACGUCCUAUCAGGUUGUUGGUGAGGUAAGAGCUCACCAAGCCUUAGACGGGUAGCGGGUGUGAGAGCAUGACCCGCCGCAUCGGGACUGAGACACUGCCCGG
rnacentral:rRNA from 1 species